CUUUCUCACCUUUGGCUACAGGACUGAAGGCAGGGGGCUUGCCUGGAGUUGAGCAGAUGGUUAUUCUCCUGCCUCAGCCUGUAGAUUGCCAAGCUCACGGCUCUGCCUGGGACACCACAAAGUGCUUGCCUUCAGCUCUCCCACCAUCAUGCCUGCAGGAUGGCCCACAGGAGCCCCAUCCCAGCUGGAACUGGCAGUUACCCCUAUGGGGAUAAUGUUUACUAAGUAUCGAGUGAUAUCAACAAGUGACCAGACUGGUCACAGGAGCGACGCUGUGGAAGGGCCUCAUGGCCUGCGCUGAUGGUGAAACCCAGCCUGCUGUUGGCGCGGCCCUACUAGGUUGACUGCCAGACACCAAGUCCAGGUGGCCGAGGACAAGCAGGAAGGACUGUAUGGUGCCCUGCCUUCCAGCUGGCUGGGCCACCCUGCCACACUUCCUCAGCCUUGAUGGACCUAGCUUUCUCACUGAAAUGUAAAAGUGAGUAGAGGCUACCCCUACAAAAUGCUGAUGUCCCAAGUGAGACUUCCUUCCGUCCUUCUCUCUGUCUCUGUCUCUGUCUCUGUCUCUGUCUCUCUGUCUCUGUCUCUGUCUCUGUCUCUCUGUCUCUCUGUCUCUCUCUCUCUCUCUCUCUCUCUCUCUCUCUCUCUCUCUCUCUCUCUGUCUCUCUUUCGCUGGGGCCUAGCCUCUGCAGUCCCAGGAUCUUUUCAUGCUCUGAGUACUUCCCAUCAACAAGCAAGAAGGGGCCAGCCAGAUGGCUCAGCAGGCAAAGGCAUCUGCAGACAAGCCUGUUGACCUGAGUUCGAUCCUUGGGCCCCCAUAGCGGAAGGAGAACCUGGUUCCUGCAAGCUGUUUGUCCUCUGACUUUCACAUGAGCACCACAGCAUGUACUCUGAACCCACACAAAAUAAAUACAUAUAAAUAACAAAAUAAAUCUUGAAACAUUCAAGAAGCAGCAG
rnacentral:lncRNA from 1 species